rnacentral:rRNA from 1 species
CAGUCGCCACGGUAAUACGUAGGGUGCGAGCGUUAGUCGGAAUUACUGGGCGUAAAGCGUGCGCAGGCGGUUAUAUAAGACAGAUGUGAAAUCCCCGGGCUCAACCUGGGACCUGCAUUUGUGACUGUAUAGCUAGAGUACGGUAGAGGGGGAUGGAAUUCCGCGUGUAGCAGUGAAAUGCGUAGAUAUGCGGAGGAACACCGAUGGCGAAGGCAAUCCCCUGGACCUGUACUGACGCUCAUGCACGAAAGCGUGGGGAGCAAACAGGAUUAGAUACCCCCGUAGUCCCUGUCUCUUAUAC